rnacentral:rRNA from 1 species
UACGAAGGGGGCUAGCGUUGCUCGGAAUCACUGGGCGUAAAGGGUGCGUAGGCGGGUCCUUAAGUCAGGGGUGAAAUCCUGGAGCUCAACUCCAGAACUGCCUUUGAUACUGAGGAUCUUGAGUUCGGGAGAGGUGAGUGGAACUGCGAGUGUAGAGGUGAAAUUCGUAGAUAUUCGCAAGAACACCAGUGGCGAAGGCGGCUCACUGGCCCGAUACUGACGCUGAGGCACGAAAGCGUGGGGAGCAAACAGG